rnacentral:rRNA from 1 species
GACAGAGGGUGCAAGCGUUGUCCGGAAUCAUUGGGCGUAAAGCGCGUGUAGGCGGCCCGAUAAGUCCGCUGUGAAAGUCCAGGGCUCAACCCUGGGAUGCCGGUGGAUACUGUCGGGCUCGAGUCCGGAAGAGGCGAGUGGAAUUCCUGGUGUAGCGGUGAAAUGCGCAGAUAUCAGGAGGAACACCAAUGGCGAAGGCAGCUCGCUGGGACGUGACUGACGCUGAGACGCGAAAGCGUGGGGAGCAAACAGG